AUACAGGGAGGGUGAGAAACCCGGGAUGCCGCUGAAGCCACUGCUCCAGGAUCUGACCCACAGGAAGUGUGCUUUGCCGAUCCGCUAGGCGGCGCACGAGACAAUCAAGUUGACACUUUCCAGUCUCAGGGGAGAGAACCAUCCACCCAUCCACUCCUGGAGCUCAUAUUGGCCAGCAACAUGACUGAAAACUACUCAUUUAAUCCAAGCAUGAAGGUGUUACUAUCAGGAACUAAGGGUCCUGCACACUGAAAAUAUUAAAAUCUGCUAAAAUUUCAUGACCAUGCCAGUUACUGGAAACAGCCUUUUCAAAUUGCUCCUGGUUAUCUUGAGCAUAUAAGGGUGUAUUGGCUCCUUUCUCCAUGACAGAGGCAUGUGCCUAUUUCACUAGAGAGUGAUUCCAUAUUAUUAAAUAAAAUAUGAAAUAGAAGAGAGCAUAAUGUAGCUCUGGCUUAUGCUGAUUCUUUUUUUAAAAAAUUCUUUUAUUGGUACAUUGUAGGUAUACAACACAUUUACAUUUCUCAUUGGGAAUUGUACCUUUACAUGAUACAUCUUGGUUCUUAUUUUUUCCCCAUUCCUAGCCCUCCCUUCACGCCCUCCACCCUUCCCUAUUUACAAAGACUUUGUUUCCAUUUUUUUCAUUUCUCAUAAUUUUUCCUUUCCCUUAUUUCCUUUCCCCUGCUCCGCCCACUUCUCCUACCCCUUUGGACCUUUUCGUCCUAUUUUGCAUUAUCAAUUGUUCAUUCUAAUCAUUGGUACAUUUUAG
rnacentral:lncRNA from 1 species